AUACUUACCUGGCGGGAGCAAUACCAUGAUCACGAAGGUAGUUUUCCCAGGGCGAGGCUUAUCCAUUGCACUCCGGAUGUGCUGACCCCUGGGAUUUUCCCAACUCUGGGAAACUACUGCAUAAUUUGUGGUAGCAGGGGACUGCAUUCGUGCUUUCCCCUG
ensembl:snRNA U1 U1 spliceosomal RNA